UACGGUCUUCUAGGCCCGACCUCCCAACCCUAUGUUUAAUCGACCUGAUGUUGCUUCGGCGAGCCCGUCUCAAAAGGACCGCCGGAGGACCGUAACACGUCCUCUGGUCCGCGCUCGCCGGUGGCCAAAUCAAAUUCUUUAUUAAAUGUAUCAUCUAAGUCAAAAAUUUAAUUAAAGCAAAACUUUCAACAACGGAUCUCUUGGUUCUGGCAUCGAUGAAGAACGCAGCGAAAUGCGAUAAGUAAUGCGAAUUGCAGAAUUCCAGUGAGUCAUCGAAUCUUUGAACGCACAUUGCGCCCUUUGGCAUUCCGAAGGGCAUGCCUGUUCGAGCGUCAUUAUCACCCCUCAAGCCCCCCUUCUUAAUUGAAACCGGCUUGGUGUUGGACGGUUUGGUGUCGGCAACGUCACCCCUCCCAAAGACAAUGACGGCGGCUUCGUGAGACCCCCGGUACACUGAGUUCCUCACCGAACACGUACUGGAUCAAGGGUAGACGGGGCCCCGGUCGACCUCCCUUCACGGGGAGAUUUAUUUUUCAGGUUGACCUCGGAUCAGGUAGGAAUACCCGCUGAACUUAAGCAUAUCAAUAAGCGGGGGAA
rnacentral:rRNA from 1 species